rnacentral:misc_RNA from 1 species
GAUGAAGAACGUAGUGAAAUGCGAUAAGUAAUGUGAAUUGCAGAAUUCAGUGAAUCAUCGAAUCUUUGAACGCACAUUGCGCCCGCCAGUAUUCUGGCGGGCAUGCCUGUUCGAGCGUCAUUCCAACCAUCAAGCCCCCGGCUUGUGUUGGGGACCUGCGGCUGCCGCAGGCCCUGAAAAGCAGUGGCGGGCUCGCUGUCACACCGAGCGUAGUAGCAUACAUCUCGCUCUGGGCGUGCUGCGGGUUCCGGCCGUUAAACCACCUUCAUAACCCAAGGUUGACCUCGGAUCAGGUAGGAAGACCCGCUGAACUUAAGCAUAUCAAUAAGCGGAGGA